ensembl:lncRNA
AUCUUCUCACAACCAACCAAGUAAUGUGAUGAAUAAAACAGAGGUGGUGAUCUGGUGACAGGCAAAAGAAAGAAUAUUGUGAAUAAACAUCUUUAUUUACAUGGUUAACUGAACCUGGCAUGAAUUAAAAGCGAUAUGAUAUUAAAUGAAUAUGAAGAAGUGAUUUCUCACUCCAGUUCCUGGAGCAAAGUGCAAGUAUCUGGCUCUCCAUGUUUUGUAGAAUAGCAGAAAGCUAGCAGACCAUGCUUCCAAGGAAAUUGUUCGGGUUCUCUGGAAAAAAGCUAUUACAGGUUCAGAGAAGAAAGAAACCACUUAUGUAGCUAUUUUGAUGUCACCUUCUUGUGUCCUUCCCCAUAUAAACAAGGAGGCAAAUUUUAAUUCUGAAUUAGCCCAUCUAUUUUUGGAUUUCUUCUGUGACAAACUAGGGAUUCUAACAGUUGAACUUCCUCCAUUGCAAACCAUCUUAAUCAUCUGCAGACCAGGUAUCUUAUGA